GUGCUCGCUUCAGCAGCGCAUGUACUAAAAACUGAAACGACACAAAGACUAGCACUGGCCCCUGUGCAAGGAUGACACGUCUUUCAAAAAAAUAACAAUUAA
rnacentral:snRNA from 1 species